rnacentral:lncRNA from 1 species
UCUCAAGGAAUAGAAACUAUAGCUUACUAACAAAAAGGUUUUACAUGUGGUUUCAGAGAUUCAUUGUUUUUUAGGUUUUCACUUUUAGGAUAUACUUCUUUUUCUCAAGCCUAAAUUUCUAUAGUGUCAUUUUGGCCUCUUCCAUUUCCAGUUGAGCUUUCUGUCAUGGAGGUAGUAAUUAGCUGGUAGCCAUUCUGCAUGAAGUAUUCUUUGUCCAAGUUCUGUAGAGGCUGCUAUUAAAUUGCCCCUGAGCUUUAGAUAGCAUCGACACAGUAAGGAGUGCUACAGUGUAUUAACAUUAUUUGCAUCCUUACUAAACAUAUAAAGAUAGUGGGGUGGCAAAGACAGAAUAUAAUGCUCCCUAAGAAUACUGCCUUGUUGGCAUCCAAUGGCAUUAUAUGGGGUUCUUGUUAAUAAAACACUUAAAGGUCUAUUUUUACAUGUUUAGAUUGUGCCUCAGGACUUGAGUUUGAGUUGUGAAAUGCUUAGCAGUUAGCUGUGCUCCCAUCUGCCAUCCCAACCUUGCAAAAGGGAACAGAACCAUGGUAUCUGGGGCAAUACAUCAUUCUUAGACAUUUCUGGUGACUUAUCAUCAAAUGUCAGGGCACUAAAAUCAAUGAAGAGAUGGGGUAGAGCUGGUACGAGAGAAGAAACCUGGAAAGCAGAGAAAGGGAAGGUUUGUGAAGAAUGGCACAGUAGGGAAGAGUGUAAAACAAACCAACAGUGAUUGAUUCCACAUGCCAGAAAUCCUUUUAAGCACCUAGCUAGGGAGCACCACAUUGCUUUAGGCAGUAGGGAUGCAGUAGAGAAGGUGAGGCAAGGACCUGGCCCUGGUACGGAGCUUAUAUUCUAGAUGGAUGAAAUCUUAAUAGAAGGUAACUGUGGUAAGUGAAUGAAGGAGAUGAAGCUAUGAUGUGGGAGCAUUAACAAGGAGUGGGCUGUGUGAGGAACCUGAAGAAAUUUGAGACGAGAGAACAGAAGGGAUUUAGCUAGAACUGGAGGGGCAGGUAGAGGGA